CUUGUUUUUGUUUUGAAGGGCAAUUUUAUCAUCUUGUGACAUCAGUUAACAGAGUUUAUGAACCGUCAAUGACAAGGGGGUAAAUGUUAUUUGGACAAACUACAAGGUUUGUUUGGUAAUAUGGACAAAGCUCGAGGGAAGUAAGUGCAAUUAACCCUUAUAAUUAAGUCCAAGUGACCUAAAGCAGUCUAGCCGCCACCUCAAACCUUGAAACGUUCACAUUUUCUACUACCAUCAUGGAAGACGACAUGGAAAUUGAGAGAGAAUCCAAGAGAAGAAAAUCAACUCCAAAAGAACAUCAUCAGCCUGGAAAUAAUCUUUAUAGUCUACCUCAAGAAAUCGCCCUCGACAUAAUUUCCAGACUACACGUAAAAUCCGUCAUCCAAUUCAGGACCAAGAAGUGAUAAUAGGAUUCGGAGUUCAUCCUCAUACCAAUGAAUAUCGCGUAGUAAGGAUAGUCUACUACUGGAAUUUAUAUGAAUUAUCUCCACUCAGAUCGCUGAGAUUCAGGGCUCAAAAUUUUCCAAGAUCAGAGGUUCAAGUAUUCUAUCAGAGCAGUGAAAAAUGGAGAGUUAUUAUUGGAGACAUACCUUACAAGCUAGAUCAGUCAUCAGGGGGAGUUUUUGUAAACGGAAGGCUUCACUGGGUGAGUAUAUGGGGAAAGAAUCAUGCUCGUCGGGAACGGCUCCUGGUGUCAUUUGAUUUAUCUGAUGAGCUUUUUAGAGAAGUCCCACUGCCAGAAAAUCAUCUUUACUUAACCCGACACCGGUAUUCUCUCAGUGUUCUCGGAGGUUUUCUGUCUGUUGUUGAUCCUUCAAAUACUAAUUGCGGGGCUCAAGACAUUUGGAUUAUGAAACAAUACGGGGUGAAAGAGUCCUGGGAGAAAGUUUUCAGCGUUGGGGUUUAUUAUGUGACGACAUUUCAGUCACCAGAAAUGCAGCAAAAAUACAGGAUUUGGAAGAAUGUACUUGAUGAACGAUUUGCCCGGGUUCUUUGCCUUCUGAAAAAUGGCGAAAUUUUGCUGCAGUACAGAUGGGGAGCCCUAGUUUCUUACAAUCCUGAGAGUCGAAUGUUUAAGGAUCUAAGGUUUAAAGGGAUGCCUAAAUUCUUCCAUACCGUUGUACACGUUGGAAGCCUGAGCCAAGCAAAUUAAUGGCCUUCUGGUCUCCGGGGAUCAAAUAUAAUAGCAGAAUUUAAGAUAUUGACAGUAGGAAGGACCUUUAUGAUUCGCUUGAUUGAAGUGUUCAAUUAUGUAGUUAAUUCAUCAAAUGGUUUGUCACCAAAGUGGUAAGGUUAUUGUUUGGUUGUGAUUCUCAUCUGGACAUCUUCUCCACACCGAUAUACCUUACACUCCCUCCCUUGGCUAUUGUCUGUUGCGAUGGUUGUAAUUCUCUUCCUAGCUACCAAUAUAGAUACCAUAGUUUGAAAUGGCAUAUUUUGAUUUUUGUCAUAGGUUUUGAAGUAAGAUUCUCAAUAUCUUUUUUGUUGUCGUAAAUGGUGAUGAAUCGACCGGGGUAUUGAUUGGAAUGAUCGAUACAUAUUGCUGAA